rnacentral:lncRNA from 1 species
GUUUAAAAGGAACAAUCAAUAUAAUAAUCUAUCCAAAAAGCACUUAAGUCUCAAUAAUUGAAACAUAUGAAGUUAAAAAGCACAACAAACUCUAAAACUGAACUACUAACUGUCUAUCGGUCUAUGAAGCCUCUAAUAACAGAGAUGGAUGUUGUGAUAGACCUCAUACAUCCUAAUGAACUAAUCUAGAAAACAAAUAAAGAAUUGUCGUCUAGAAUGCAAGGAGGCACACCAAGUGACUUCAGAGUGCUCAACUGGGUCAAUGAUGCGCUGCGCGCUGAUUCUGGUUAUCUGCGUCUGCAUCAUGAAAUGAUACAGGUCAAUUAUCAUCAAUACAUUGAAUGUACGAGUAUUGUAGUUGGAAAGUUAAACGACGACUUAAGGGUUAAGAUGAACUUACCUUUGCUCUGCUCAACUCAAGAAUAUGCUUAACUUAAAGUAUGUAUAUAAAGCAAUUUAAAAAACAUGCGAUAUAUAUAAAAAUUGUAAAACAAUAAAACAACUUAGUUCGUUAAACAAAUGCAUUAACAAACUAAACUUUACUUAUAUAUGAAAGUAAUAUAACUUUUGUUGGAGAUUCUCUAACAAGACAACCAUCACUUUGAGCCUAAGUGAUGAUAUAACGUUUUACCUCACGUUGACCAAGGACCAUCCUAUACCUUGCCAUCAGUAUAGGACCUUACUUAGCUUAGUGGAUCCACUCGAUAAACUUACGUGAUCAUCUAAAAAGUAUGACCUGUCAAUUCCCAUUAUGUGUUCAUGGUUCACAUGGAGACUUCAGUUGAUUAUGAACUAUCAUCCCCAUACCGGUGCUCAAUACUACUCCCAAAACAUACUUUAUCUCAAACUUUUAAUAAAUUUCCUUCCUUUGGGUUGAGAUAAUUUACUGAACCCUUUAGUUUUAAAAAACCCAUCUUUGGAAUCAGUGGUCCCUUUUAGUUCAAAACUCUUUUGGAACUCUUAGUUUCCUUUUUACUUAAAUGUGAAACAUUUAUAAACCUUCAGGAAAUAAUUGGUUCCGUUAUAUCUUUUGAUAAAUGAACUCAACUCUUGCUCUUUACUUAACUGGAAACUUAAAUCUUAGGAAACACGUAGUCCCCUUAUAGCUUUUGAGAAUUUAAUUCAACUCUUUAUUGUUUGCUCAACUUAAAACUUGAGCCUUAAACCAAAGUUAAAAUGAUUGUUUAAGACUCUUUGAAAACUUUCAGAACCUACUUUGACUUGCUUCUUACUUUUAAACUUGACUCCUAUUUCCUUGAAUAGGAUAAUGGAUUCAAGAAUCAUGAUCUUAUUUUAUGGAUGAUUUCAUGAUGUUUAGAUUUACUUUAGAGUGUUGAAAUCAAAUAGGAAUGAUAGGUACAUAACUUAAGAAUUGGUAAGAAAAUAUAGGAAAAGAACGGGUUCUUCAGGGACUCUUGGCGCUGUGAGAGGCGCGGAGCGCCUGGACCUGACGGACAAAGUCUCUCUUGAGGCACGCUGGUAGGCACACCGCCCCAGGACCUAUUAGAUGGGUUUUCCGACUUUUCUUAUUGGAUUUUCAAUUCUAAACCUCCUAAACUUCGAUGGAUCCCACCCCAAACACUUAGGAUUUCUAAAUAAUUAUUACCCAACAGACUAGAACCAAAGACAGUCUGGAAACAUAAUUAAAUCUACUUGGGAUACACUACAAUUCAACCAACAAGAAUUUAACAAAUUUUUAUCAAGAACUCUCAUAUUCAUCAUUCCAUAUACUUUAACUUGCUAUAUUGAAACAAAUUUGGUGUGGGUGAAAGGACCCAGCACCGAAUGAUCUCACAUAUCUCGAUAGGGAUCACCCACACGACGAAUUCCACGCAACGAUCUUGGCGUUCUUGGACAAUUCCUUAUCUUCUCUCGUCUUUUCUCUUUUGUCCCAAGCCCUAAGCAUUCUUAGUUUUUAUAAAACUGGUUUCGGACUUGGUUUUACCCCUAAUAUAACCUAAAUACGAAUUAGUAAAUACUAGGGUGAAAAACAAACUUUACCCUUAGUAAAAUCCGGAUUGAAUUUUGCUCAGUUAAACAGCCCAACUUCCGAAAAAAAGGCAUAUCUCCCUCAUACAACAUCGGAUUUUCGCAAUAUAUUAGUUGAUAUAUAUAUAUAUAUAUAUAUGUCGACUAAUAUUAAGAGAAUAUGUAACCUAAUGUUCAUUUUAACAUCAUAUUAGACAUUAACAUAAAAUUAAAUUACAAUAUAUGUUGGAUAAAAAAUAUGUCAUCUUCUUUAAUUUUAUGUAUUCAACUCAUAUAAAAAAAGGGUAAACCUCAAGAAUGUUCUAAUUUGAUGGAUGUAGAUAUAAUUAACUAUGAUGACAUUUUUAUGUGGUUAUUAUAACUAUCUAAUAAGCAUUUAUAAUCACGCACACAAAGUUUUAUUUUCAAAAUUUGAACAAAAAAUGUGUGAAGUGUUUAGGUAUUCCAUUGAAAUAAGUCAUAGUUUGUAUAUCAAAAUAAAAUUUAGUGACAAGUUUAAUGGACUUUAAAUAUAUAAAGUCAAGUCAUAAAUUAAUUUUAUUAAAAAAUAUUAAAAACUCUAUGUCCAACUUGCACAACUACAGUUCCAUUCAAUUAACUUUUUUAAUAGCAAAAUAAAAAAAAUCGGAUGAAUUACAUUUAUUUUGUCUAUCUUAAAGAUAAAAAUAUUUUUUGUAACAAUAAUUUUACCUUUUUAGUAUAAUAAAAAUUUGUAUUACUUUUUUUUAAUCAUGGUAAUAUGAUUCAUACUUAAAAUAUUUGUGUCAUUUAUGUCUCUAUUGAAAGAUAUUACAUGUAAUUUCAAAGCAUAAGUUAUGUUUGUAUAUUUUCUGUCUUGAUUCAAUUAAUAAAUCUUUUAAUAAUCUUCUUCUUUUUAUGAAUUACAGUUACAUAUAAAAUAAUUUUAAAAUUUAAAUUUGUCAUAUAGUAUGUUAAUAAAAUUUAAUAAUAUUUCGAAAACAAAAUAAUUUACUUUAAAAGAAAUAAAUCCCCUUUCUUAUAUGAGACAAGGGAUAGUAAUAUGUAGAAUUAAUUGAUAAUUUGUCAAAUUUGCGUUCUAAUGUUUAAAUUUCUUUUUUAUUUUUAAAUUUGAGUUCUAAAAUUGCCAAAAAGAUAAAUUCUAUAGUUAAAAACAUUUUUAAAAUUGUAGUGUUGUAAAAGCUAACUUCAUUUUAUAUUUUGAAGACUAAAUAUAGGGAAGGUAAAAAAAAUAUAUUAAAUAUUAAAAAAUAAAUGAGGUGCACAAUAUUUGAAUGAAGUUAAUAAUUGUUGAGAAUUUAAAAUUUAUAAUAGAUAGUAAAUUUGUAAUGAUAUAAAGAGAAAAGACCUACAUUAUUAUAUGUGUUUAAAGGAUAUUGGUGAGUGAAUAAGACAAGGUUAAGUACAUAAGACAAUUGGUGUUUAAAGGCUAUUGGUGAGUGAAUAAGACAAGGUUAAGUACAUAGUACAAUUGAUUUUCCUCAUUGUACAACUCUUCAUAGCCAUGGUUGUCCUACCAUGGCUCUUCUAUAUAAUUAUUAAUUAAUAAUACUGGGUAGAAAGGACCCGUUAACAGACCCAAUAUUUCAUUCUUAAAUUUAUUAUUUCGUGAUUAAAUGUAUAUAUGUGUCGGGACAUACACGGGCCCAAUAUUUCAAUCUAAAAUUUAUUAUUUCGUGAUUAAAUGUAUAUAUGUGUCGGGAAUUACUCUCAUACAAUAUUUUAUUGACCGUUCAUCAUGAUUAACUAUCUAAAUUUCCACUACAAAUAAUAACCUUUGAAUUUAUAAUUCAAAUUCAAGUUAGAGCUAAGAUUUAAGUCUUGAAAAUUCUUUUGAAUCUUCUUUAGAAAGUCCUUUUGAUUCUUUUGAGAAGUCUUCUUUAAUUUGUAAUAACCUGUUUCAAAACUCGAGUAAUUGAGUAUGAUAAUGAUGAAAAUAUAUUCAUGAGUCUACAUUAUCAUCGAGAUCCUUCAUAUAAUGAAUCAUAAAUCUUUAAUUCAUAAUUCAAAUUCAAGAAAGAGCUAAGAGUAUAGUUCAAGAAAGUCUUUGAGUUCAAUUGUUAAUCCUUUGAGAUCAACUAUUGAUUUGGGCUAAGUUUUGAUAAAGUAAGUAUGAAAUUGAGAAAAAUCAUAUACAUGAAUUCCAUAUUGUUAUUUAGACCCUCAAGUCGAGUCGUUAAUGCCCAAAAAUUUUGGUAUGAAUUUCAUAAGUUGAGUAUCUUUGAGAGGAGUAGUAUCUUCAAGGUCUAAGUCUUGAGUAUUGAGUUCCUAAUCAUUUAGGGAUUAUAUUCCUAAUCAUGGGGCUACUAUCGGUUACCCACGGAGGUCCUUGAGUUGAGAAACUCAUGCCUAUACACUACAACAAAUUCGAUUAUCAGGAAUAAAUAAUUUCGUCAUUUAUAAACAAUUUUUCGUCAUUAAAAAUCUUGUGUGACGAAAAAUAAUUCGUCACUAAAAGUAUACAAAGACAAUUUAGUGCUUCGUCACUGAAAAUAUUAUAUUAACUACAAAAAGAAAAAUCGUCCCCAAAUCCUUAAACAAUUGUGGACAAAAUUUAUUUGUCGUAAAAAGUACGUAUACCUUUUUGUAGUUAAUAAUGUUUUGUCAAUAAAAGGUUAUUACUACCGACAGAAUUAUAUUGUCGCACAGAAUUAUAUUGUUGCUAGUUAUUUUACUUCAAUUAGUGACAAAAUCACUUGUCUCUAUAGUUAAAUAUAUUUCGUAGUUGAAGAAAAUCUCAUUUCGCCACUAAUGACUAUAUUUUAUAUACAAAAAAUUAUUUUAUUCUUUAAUGUAUUAGGGAUAAAUCUAUCAUUACAAAAAAAAUUAUUUUCCUAUGAUAUAUAUAUAUAUAUAUAUAUAUAUAUAUAUAUAUAUAUAUAUAUAUAUAUAUAUAUAUAUAUAUAUAUGGUUAAGAGAGAAGCAAUUUGAUAUUGCUUCUCUCUUAGCCAAAUAUCUUGAUUUUGAGUCUUGGAUAUGAAAAAAAAAAAUCUUAAUAGGGAGCGCUAUAUUCGAAUAGGCCUUAUUUCGACGCAAAGUAUAAUUAAUCAAAUUUUCAUAUGAAUAUUGCAUAAUUAUUAAAAUUACUAUUAGGAAUUUACUAAUUUUUUGGUAUAUAUAUGUUCACAUGGAUAUAUUACUAUUUAUAAUUAGACAAUAUUUUUAUGUCCAAGUGAACACAUAUAUACCUUUAAAGUAUAUGAUUAAAUAGUGAAUGAUAUAAAAUGUCCUUUUUAAAUUUGAUAACGUACAACAAUUCGGUCAAAGUUCAGAUAUAUUUUAAGACCCUUUUCCCUUUCUAUUUCGGAGAUUCCAAUAAGGCCGAACCCAUCAGUGACCCCUUAAAGUUGGCAACAAGUUUCACUUAGACACCUCAAUUACAUCGCACAUUUUAGACACCUCAUGUAAGAUUUCAUUAUAUUAUUUUAACACUUUAGUGACAAUAAACAAAAAAACUAAAGGAGAGUAUAAUACACUCGUUCAUGACGUGGCAAACAAUCAAUUAAAUAAUUACAUGCGUUAUUUUCAGUUAAAAAUAAUUAUAAAAUCUAUUAGUAAAUAACAUAAGUAUAUUAUUCUAAGAAAAUCUCGUAUUUCAUUACAUUCAAAAUCUCUUUUUGUGCUUUUUAAAAAAAAUUAUUCUUUUCUUUUCCUAUUUUUCAUAUUUAUUCUUCUUCUUUAUUUUUAGUAUUAUUUUUUAAAAAGAAAAGAAAGAAAGAGAGAAUAAAUUUGAAAUAAGGGUAUUGAUAUAUAUUUUUCCGGCAAAAAAAAUGUAAGAAAGUGAUGACAAAUUUAGAUAAGUAAUACAAUGAAAAAGAAGGAAAUCACUUAAAAAUAAAUUUGAUAAAAAAAAUUGACUUUUAAAGGAGGUGGCUUGAAAACUGGAGAAGAAAAAAAUUAAAAAAUAAUUAAAUCAAGUCUGUCACGCACUAUGGUUGAGUGCAUCACACUCAAUUGACAUGUCAUCAAAAAGUAUUAAAAUGACACAACAAAAUGCCACAUGAAAGUGUCUAAAAUGAAUAUAGCUUAAUUGAGGUAUCUUAUAGAAACUUCAACCAAUGGAUUUUAGUCUUCCAGUAAUUACUCACUACUUUUACUAUCAUUGUCACUUUGUCAGUGAAAAAUGCAAACAUUCACAUAAAUAAAUAUAUUUACGUACUAAAGCGUUUGGCCAUGUAAUACCAUAUCACCAUAUGUUAUUCUGAGAUUAAGUAAUGACCACUCUGAUUUUAUACAAACACAAUACACUUUUCACAAGUGUCUACCAAUAAAUUUUAACAAAGUAUAGUAUCGAAUAUCUAUAUAUGAUUUACCUCUCCCACCUAUUUUCAUUUUUCAUUUCAGUAUUACUAACCGAGUAUGUAUAAUUAGCGAUUCUAAGUGAUUGACUGAAGUAUCUAGCUCUACCAAUAUGGAUCGUAUAAGAGAGUUUUUUCCUACCUUCCACACAAGAAUAAACUACGGAUAAUCGUGAAAGCUAUUGUAUAAAUAUACAUUUUCGACAUACCAAUGCAAUUUUACAUGCCACACCAUAGGCAGACACAAAAUUCACAAUCAUUGUACACUAAAAAAUCAAAACUUCGUUAUGGCGGCCUAGUAUAUAAUAGAUGACAAUGAAAUUGAAUGCAGUAGAAUUUAGAGAUAUCAAAUUCAAGAGAAGAAUAAAAAAAAUUCACAGAUGACUUACCUGAAAUUGAAAGAAGCCAAACAACAGGCACAGUUAGAACCUACAACUAGACAAUCUAGAAGAUGAGCUCUUUGAUGGCAGUUGGUAUCAUGUUUAUUUAAAGCAUGAAUAGAAAUUUCUAGAGAGAAAUAUUUUUAUACUUGUGUUUGGUAUUUCGCCACGUGGAGAGAAAUCAGGGAACAAGCACAAUAAAAUCAAAUAGGGUGUCAAUAAACAUAUCAUAUUGUGUGUACAAUAGUAUAACCAUACUUUUAUUAUAACUCUAGAUCUGCUAUAAAAGAGUGUAUCCUUUUCUCAUUUUUGUUUUCCUUUCGGACUUUCUAAACAACAAUUUUCCUUGAACAAUAUUUUUAUUUCACCUCUUGUAGUUCUCAUUUCAUCCUAUUAUAUUA